GCCCGAAUUAUGUGGGAGCUGCGCCGUUUCCGUAAUCCGUAGCACCACAUGAUUCGGCUU
rnacentral:pre_miRNA from 1 species